CCAUCUUUGCUGAAUAGUCUAAAGAUUUUCACGUUAUUGGAUAUGUGUUUUAAAACUGUGCACCCACAACUCCCACCCCUAAAUACUUCAGAUUGAAUAAGUAAAGCAGUUUUUCGUAGAAAGAAACUCUUUGUUAAACCCUCUGGGAGCAUAAGUACUAAUUUUAGAUUACUAGACUAUGUAUAGAUCAGUACUGCCCCCCCCACAAGGAAAAACCUUUCACCUCUCUUUCCUAGAAUGAAAAUAAAGCUCUGUCUGAGGAAAGGACUGCCAUUAAAGAGCAGCUGGAUUCAUCUAACAGCACAAUUGCCAUUUUACAAAAUGAGAGGGACAAACUAGAGUCGGAAAUCACAGAUUCUAAGAAAGAACAAGAUGACCUCCUGGUGCUGCUGGCUGAUCAAGACCAGAAAAUACUGUCGCUGAAGAGCAAACUCAAGGACCUCGGCCAUCCAGUUGAAGAAGAGGAUGAACUCGAAUCUGGAGACCAAGAAGAUGAGGAUGAAGAAAAUGAAGAGAUCAAGGACCAGGAUAGUAUCUAGCGUUAAACUCUAGGAAUGGUAGAUGUUGUCUUGUUACUUUGAAGACAGAGUUUGAAACAGUGCUUUGUUUCCUUCCACCGAAAAUAAAGAUUUAGAAAACAAGUGGAAACAUUCA